rnacentral:rRNA from 1 species
UAGUAAUGGCAGGUCAGCAUACUGCCGUGAAUACGUUCCCGGGCCUUGUACACACCGCCCGUCACACCAUGAGAGUUGGAAAUACCCGAAGCCUGUGAGCUAACUUAAGGGAGGCAGCAGUCGAAGGUAGAGCCAAUGAUUGGGGUGAAGUCGUAACAAGGUAAC